rnacentral:rRNA from 1 species
CCCCGAGGAAAAGAAAUCAACCGAGAUUCCCCCAGUAGCGGCGAGCGAACGGGGAGCAGCCCAGAGCCUGAAUCAGUGUGUGUGUUAGUGGAAGCGUCUGGAAAGGCGUGCGAUACAGGGUGACAGCCCCGUACACAAAAAUGCACAUGCUGUGAGCUCGAUGAGUAGGGCGGGACACGUGGUAUCCUGUCUGAAUAUGGGGGGACCAUCCUCCAAGGCUAAAUACUCCUGACUGACCGAUAGUGAACCAGUACCGUGAGGGAAAGGCGAAAAGAACCCCGGCGAGGGGAGUGAAAAAGAACCUGAAACCGUGUACGUACAAGCAGUGGGAGCACGCUUAGGCGUGUGACUGCGUACCUUUUGUAUAAUGGGUCAGCGACUUAUAUUCUGUAGCAAGGUUAACCGAAUAGGGGAGCCGAAGGGAAACCGAGUCUUAACUGGGCGUUAAGUUGCAGGGUAUAGACCCGAAACCCGGUGAUCUAGCCAUGGGCAGGUUGAAGGUUGGGUAACACUAACUGGAGGACCGAACCGACUAAUGUUGAAAAAUUAGCGGAUGACUUGUGGCUGGGGGUGAAAGGCCAAUCAAAC